rnacentral:tRNA from 1 species
GCCUGGGUGGCUCAGUCGGUUAAGCAUCCAACUCUUGGUUUCAGUUCCAGUCAUGAUGCCAGGGUCGCAGGAUCAAGCCCUGCCCUGGGCU